rnacentral:tRNA from 1 species
UGGGAGGUGUGGCCCGGUUUGCAGGUGGCGUCGUUGAUUCCGAUGGUGCGCUGCUGGAGCAUCUGCAGCACCUUCCAG